GACGAACGCUGGCGGCGUGCUUAACACAUGCAAGUCGAACGGAAAGGCCCUGCUCUUGUGGGGUGCUCGAGUGGCGAACGGGUGAGUAACACGUGAGUAACCUGCCCUUGACUUUGGGAUAACUUCAGGAAACUGGGGCUAAUAUCGGAUAGGAGCUCCUGCUGCAUGGGGGGGGUUGGAAAGUUUCGGCGGUUGGGGAUGGACUAGCGGCUUAUCAGCUUGUUGGUGGGGUAGUGGCUUACCAAGGCUUUGACGGGUAGCCGGCCUGGGAGGGUGACCGGCCACAUUGGGACUGAGAUACGGCCCAGACUCCUACGGGAGGCAGCAGUGGGGAAUAUUGCACAAUGGGCGGAAGCCUGAUGCAGCAACGCCGCGUGCGGGAUGACGGCCUUCGGGUUGUAAACCGCUUUCGCCUGUGACGAAGCGUGAGUGACGGUAAUGGGUAAAGAAGCACCGGCUAACUACGUG
rnacentral:rRNA from 1 species